CUGGGUUGAUCCUGCCAGUAGAACAUGUUUGUCUCAACGAUUGAGCCACAGACUUUUAAGUACACAUAGCCAGUACAGUAACACUGUAAAUGGCUCAUUGAAUUAGGGAUGGUUCCUUUGAUGUCUCCAUCUGUUACUUGGAUAACUAUGGUAAAUCUACAGUGAAUACAUGCUGACAAAUGCUAACCUCCCGGGAUGCAUGCAUUUCUCAGACCAAGUCCAAUCCAGACUCGAACGGCUGCUUUGGUGACUCUAGCUAAGCUUGGGCAGAUUGCAUGUCCCCGUGAUGGCAACAAUGCAUUAUGAUGUCUGCCCUAUCAACUUCCGAUGGUACUUUCUGUGCGUACCUUGGUGAUCACAGGUAACAGAGAAUUAGGAUUCGAUUCGAGAGAAGGAGCCUGAGAAAGAGCUACUACAUCCAAGGUAGUCAACACGAGUGCAAAUUACCCACUCCCUACUCAGGGAGUUAGUGAUGGAAAAUUAUAAUACAGGACUCUUUCAAGGCCCUAUAAUUGGAAUGUGUACAGUUUAAAUCCUUUAAUAAGGGUUAAUUGGAGGGAAAGUCUGGUGCCAUCAGCCAUAGUAAUUCCAGCUCUUAUAGUGUAUUUCAAAGUUGCUGCAACUAAAAAGUUCAUAGUUGGAUCUUAUGAUCGGGCUGAUGGUCCGGCAGGAGGCGCGCUAAUGCAUGUCCCAGCCUCUGCCUUUCAGCGUCCCAUUGAUGUUUUUGACUUAGUGUCCUGGGGGUCCGAAGUGUUAAACUUUAAAAACAUUAGAGUGUUCAAAGCAUGUCGGUCGCCUGAAUACUUCAACUGGGAAUGAUUGAAUAGGACUCCAGUUCCAUUUUGUUUUUUUAUUUGUAACUGGGGCCAUGAUUAACAGGGGUGGCCUGGGGCAUUCGUAUUGUGCUGCUAGAAGUGAAAUUCUUGGACAUUCUCAUACUUCUGACCAUAAAAAAUACUAACGACUGAUCUGGCAGUAUCCCCAUGAACCACCGAGCAGCUUCUGGGAAACCAAAAUCUUUGGGUUUCAAAGGGAGUAUGAUUGCAAAGCUGAAACCUAAAGGAAUUGACGGAAGGGCACCACCAGGAGUGGAGCCUGUGGCUUAAUUUGACUCAACACGGGAAACCUCACCCGGCCCGGACACGGAAAGGAUUGACAGAUUGAUAGCUCUUUCUCGAUUCUGUGUGUGGUGGUGCAAGGCCAUGCCUAGCUGGUGGAUCAACUUGUCUGGUUAAUUCUGAUAACAAACAAGACUACCCCAUGCUAACCAGUUACGUGAACUACAGUGCUUAGCAAUCAACUUCUUAGAGGGACAAGUGGCGUUCAGCUACACAAGAUCGAGCAAUAACAGAUCUGUUAUCCCCUUAGAUGUCCAGGGCUGCACGUGCACUACACUGAAUGGAUCAGCGUGCGUCUACCCUUUGCCGAUAGGUGCAGGUAACCCGCUGAACCCCAUUUGUGAUGAGGAUUGGGCACUGCAUUUAAUUCCCAUGAAUGAGGAAUUCCCAGUAAGUGCAGCUCAAUAGCUCAUGUUAAGUCCCUGCACUUUGUACACAUCGCCCACCGCUCCUACCGAUUAAAUGUUUAAAUGUGGUCUUUUGAUCGGCCCUCGCUGGGUCGGCAAUGGCCCUGGCAGGGCUCAGAGACAACAAUAAAACUUGACAAACUAGAGCAGGGGUCUACAACCUUUAUGCUAGCAAAAGCUGCUUGUA
rnacentral:rRNA from 1 species